GGNCGCCNUGGCCGCGGGAUUAGAGUUUGAUCAUGGCUCAGGACGAACGCUGGCGGCGUGCUUAAUACAUGCAAGUCGAGCGAGGUUACUGUUUUGGAUCCCUUCGGGGUGAAGAAGCUUUAACCUAGCGGCGGACGGGUGAGUAACGCGUGGGUAACCUACCCCAAAGUCCGGGAUAACAGCGGGAAACCGCUGCUAAUACCGGAUGCCUUUACCUUGGGGCAUCUUGAGGUAAAGAAAGGCAACGCUUUGGGAUGGGCCCGCGUCCCAUUAGCUAGUUGGUGAGGUAACGGCUCACCAAGGCGACGAUGGGUAGCCGGCCUGAGAGGGUGGACGGCCACACUGGGACUGAGACACGGCCCAGACUCCUACGGGAGGCAGCAGUAGGGAAUAUUGCGCAAUGGACGGAAGUCUGACGCAGCGACGCCGCGUGAGCGAUGAAGGUCUUCGGAUCGUAAAGCUCUGUCCUUGGGGAAGAAGGCGAAAGCUUGACGGUACCCAAGAAGAAAGCCCCGGCUAACUACGUGCCAGCAGCCGCGGUAAU
rnacentral:rRNA from 1 species